UACGUAGGGUGCAAGCGUUAAUCGGAAUUACUGGGCGUAAAGCGUGCGCAGGCGGUUUUGUAAGUCUGACGUGAAAGCCCCGGGCUCAACCUGGGAACCGCGCUUGAGACUGGAGAACUAGAGUUCGGGAGAGGAUGGUGGAAUUCCCAGUGUAGAGGUGAAAUUCGUAGAUAUUGGGAAGAACACCAAUGGCGAAGGCAGCUCGCUGGGACGGUACUGACGCUGAGACGCGAAAGCGUGGGGAGCAAACAGGG
rnacentral:rRNA from 1 species